rnacentral:rRNA from 1 species
CAAUAGCGUAUAUUAAAGUUGUUGCGGUUAAAAAGCUCGUAGUUGGAUUUCUGUUGGGAACGACCGGUCCGCCCAUUGGGUGUGUAUCUGGCUUGUUCUCGGCAUCUUCUUGGUGAACGUUGCUGCACUUGACUGUGUGGAGCGCUACCCAGGACUUUUACUUUGAGGAAAUUAGAGUGUUUCAAGCAGGCAUAUGCCUUGAAUACAUCAGCAUGGAAUAAUAAGAUAGGACCUCGGUUCUAUUUUGUUGGUUUCUAGAGCUGAGGUAAUGAUUAAUAGGGAUAGUUGGGGGCAUUCGUAUUUAACUGUCAGAGGUGAAAUUCUUGGAUUUGUUAAGGACGGACUACUGCGAAAGCAUUUGCCAAGGAUGUUUUCAUUGA